CGUUGAACGUGAGGCAGAGGAUCUUACCUGGCAUUGACUGCAGGGAACACACAUUCUGCGGAUGCGUGGUGUGAGCAGCAGUGGAUACGGCUACACAGUGUCUCCCACGAGACUGGGACUGCUCCUUGUCCUAGCUAAUCCCAUGGAAGAGCUGCAGAUGAUGAUGGAGCAGAUCUCUACAGUUCCCAGAGAGCAUGUGGGCCCCAAUCAGCCUGAUCUCAUAUUCCAAGAAUGAAACCCUGGCAUGGAAGUGGCAUAUCUGCUAGUUAAUGUCAACAUUUGAUGUGCAAUCAGAAAGCAAACAGGAUUUCAU